rnacentral:rRNA from 1 species
AGAGUUUGAUCAUGGCUCAGGAUGAACGCUGGCGGUGCGCCUAAUACAUGCAAGUCGAACGAGAACCCGAAUUUAUUUGGGGGACAGUGGCGGACGAGCGAGUAACACGUAAGAACCUGCCCUGUACUCAGGGACAACCAUCCGAAAGGGUGGCUAAUACCGGAUAGUCUCGUAAGAGUAAAGAUUUAUCGGUACGGGAGGGGCUUGCGGCCUAUCAGUUUGUUGGUGAGGUAAAAGCUCACCAAGACUAUGACGGGUAGCUGGUGUGAGAGCAUGACCAGCCGCGAUGGGACUGAGACACGGCCCAUACUCCUACGGGAGGCAGCAGUAAGGAAUCUUCCGCAAUGGGCGAAAGCCUGACGGAGCGACACCGCGUGAUGGAUGAAGGCCCAUGGGUCGUAAACAUCUUUUCUAGAGGAAGAAGAUCUGACGGUACUCUAGGAAUAAGGACCGGCUAAUUACGUGCCAGCAGCCGCGGUAAUACGUAAGGUCCAAGCGUUAUCCGGAAUCAUUGGGCGUAAAGCGUCCGCAGGCGGUUAUGUAAGUCUGUUAUUAAAUACCAGCGCUCAACGUUGGUGCUGUAAUGGAAACUAUAUAACUAGAGAUUGGGAGAGGUAGAGGGAAUAGUGCAAGUAGGGGGUAAAAUCCGUAGAUAUGCACUGGAAUACCAAAUGCGAAGGCACUCUACUGGCCCAUUUCUGACGCUCAGGGACGAAAGCGUGGGGAGCAAAACGGAUUAGAUACCCGUGUAGUCCACGCCGUAAACGAUGCAUACUCGGUGUAGGGGACCUCGACCUGUCCUCUGUGCCUAAGGUAACCCGUUAAGUAUGCCGCCUGUGCAGUACGGCCGCAAGGCUAAAACACAAA